AGGAUUCAAAACUCAAAAACUGUUCGGGCUUGCACGAUAAAGUUUUUGAAUUUGGAAUCCGCACAAACAUGAGGAAGUAGCUAUUUACGCAGUAAAUUGCGUAUUCCGAAUGCUUGUAGGAUUGCGAGAGCAGCUUAGCUGCGCAGCAAUCCGUUGG
rnacentral:sRNA from 1 species